CAUGCACAUUGUUAGAGCUUGGAGUUGAGCCCACUGGUGGCAAAUGAACUCACAAGCGUCGGUAGUGUGCUACUCAGGGGGCAAGACUUUUGCUAACACGAGGAUGUUGGUCCAGUGAGUGGAGUUUCAUAAUAACCCUUAAUACAAGU